GUCCACGCCAUAAACGAUGAGGACUAGACGUUGAGAGGGUUAGCCUCCCAGUGUCGUAGCUAACGCGCUAAGUCCUCCGCCUGGGGAGUACGGCCGCAAGGUUGAAACUCAAAGGAAUUGACGGGGACCCCGCACAAGCGGUGGAGCAUGUGGUUUAAUUCGAUGCAACGCGAAGAACCUUACCUGGUCUUGACAUCUACGGAAUCCUGCAGAAAUGCGGGAGUGCCGCAAGGAACCGUAAGACAGGUGCUGCAUGGCUGUCGU
rnacentral:rRNA from 1 species